GACGAACGCUGGCGGCGCGCUUAACACAUGCAAGUCGAACGGAAAGGCCUGCUUUCCCUUGUGGAUUGCGGGUACUCGAGUGGCGAACGGGUGAGUAACACGUGAGUGAUCUGCCCCCAACUUGGGUAUAAGCCUGGGAAACUGGGUCUAAUUCCCGAUAGGACUGUAGGGUGGUGCCUGUGGUGGAAAACGAUUUUCUAGUGGUUGGGGAUGAGCUCGCGGCCUAUCAGCUUGUUGGUGGGGUAAUGGCCUACCAAGGCGGCGACGGGUAGCCGGCCUGAGAGGGUGGACGGCCACAUUGGGACUGAGAUACGGCCCAGACUCCUACGGGAGGCAGCAGUGGGGAAUAUUGCACAAUGGGCGGAAGCCUGAUGCAGCGACGCCGCGUGGGGGAUGACGGCCUUCGGGUUGUAAACUCCUUUCGACCGCGAGGAAGCCACCUGGUUGGAAGGGUGGUGACGGUAGUGGUAGAAGAAGCACCGGCUAACUACGUG
rnacentral:rRNA from 1 species